rnacentral:misc_RNA from 1 species
UGCAGUGCCGGCCGUUUCAGGUGAAGAUGAAAGGCGACGGCAGUCGGAUCCGGUUUCCCGACCGGCUUUCAACGGAGGAUCGCUUUUUGGAAUCGCGUGGACCCAUUCUGGGUCACAGUCUUGCCACUGCGAUCGACCGUCUGAUUUAUGUCCCGCCUGCUACUUACAGUCGGCUCUCGAUGUCCGAUCGGUACGCGGUGGCUCGGACCAUCGGGCGGGUCACCCUGGAGUCGAAACCGGGCGGAGCCGGGAUUGUGAUGUUGCUGGGGCCAGGACGGUGGGGGACGUCGAUGCCGGCGUUGGGAGUUCCAGUUUCGUUUGCCGAGAUCAGCCGUGCGGCGGUGCUGGGUGAACUGACGACGAUGCAUGAGGGGUUGGUGCCGGAUGUGUCUUUGGGCACGCAUUUCUUCAAUGACCUGGUGGAGAUGGACAUCCUGUAUUUCGCCGUGUCGCCGAACAAGGUAGGGCAUGCGUUCAACGAGGAAAUGCUGAGGCUGGCGCCCAACCGAUUGCUCAUGCUUCAGCCUAGUGCGGUGCGCCUGGUGGGGGCAUUGUGGGUGUUGGAUGGGACCGAUCUGGCUCCGCAGGGCCGGCUUUAUCUCAACGUGGAUGCAAUGAAUCAACGCCUCGCCUGUUACCGGGAGAGCGAUUGAAAUGCUUGCACGAUGAGGACGGGCGGCUAACGUGUCGGCCGUGAUUUCUGAUCUGGUGGAUACGAAAGUCGGAGCUGCGGUGCGCCAUGACUGGAACCGGGCCGAGGUCCGGGCCAUUUAUGAGUUGCCGCUGCUCGCAUUGGUGCUGCAGUCCGCGGCGGUGCAUCGGCAAUUCCACGAUCCCACCGAGAUCCAAGUGUGCAAGCUGAUCUCGGUGAAGACCGGUGGUUGCCCGGAGGAUUGCUCUUACUGUGCGCAAUCCUCGAGGUACCAGACAGGAGUGGAAUCCCAGGCGUUAUUGGAUCGGGACACGGUCCUUGGCAUUGCGCGCCAGGCCAAGGAAAACGGUGUUAGCCGCGUUUGCAUGGGAGCAGCCUGGCGUGAGGUGCGCGACGGCGGAUCGUUUGAACGGGUGCUGGAUAUGGUGAAGGAGGUGACCAGUCUUGGACUGGAGGUCUGUUGCACGCUGGGGAUGUUGAACGAGGAACAGGCGCGACGAUUGGAGGCAGCGGGGCUCUACGCAUACAACCAUAACCUCGACACUUCGGCUGAAUAUUACGAGACGGUCAUCACGACGCGCGCCUACGCGGAUCGACUGCGCACUUUGGGAGAAAUCCGCAAGACUCGGGUUACGGUUUGUUGCGGUGGCAUCAUCGGGAUGGGGGAGGCCAUCGAAGACCGGUUGGCGUUGCUGCAAACUCUGGCCACUCUGGAGCCACACCCGGAAUCGGUCCCGAUCAAUAUCCUGGCCAAAGUGCCCGGCACACCGUUGGCCGAGGUUCCCGACGUGCCCUUCGAUGAGAUCGUCCGGAUGAUCGCCACCGCGCGCCUGAUGAUGCCGGGAUCAGUGGUUCGGCUCUCUGCCGGGCGCGCCCGAUUGAGCGUCGCGGAACAGGCGCUUUGCUUUCUGGCCGGCGCGAACUCGAUUUUCUCCAGUGAAACCGAAUCGAUGCUGACGAAGGCAGUGCCCUCGCCUGGAUAUGAUGCCGACCGCGCCAUGCUUGAGUUGCUGGGUCUCAGGCCGCGGCAAGCAUUCAAAGAAUAGAGCGGAGCGAGAGACCGCUGAUGGGUGCGGAUGUCAAGACCGCGGAUAUCGCGGAUGGACGCGGAUGAUGGCUUGCAUCGACGCAAACGCGCGGUGGAGCAGUAGGAAGCCGAGAAGGACCAGGGCCUCAUUUCGGCCGGGUGCUGCGCUCCUGAAGCCAGGCAAUGUCCGCGUUGUCCGGUGACUCCACCCAAUCCUCCACAAAUCCGUCGCGAACCAGCGGCGGCAUGGUGCGCUCGUCCCCCAGCGCCGGAUCUCCGAGUGUCCGUCCGCGAAAGAGAAUCCGCCCGCGCGGUGAUGGUAGGACCCAGGCAAGUCAAUGAACUGAUACUCCGCCGGCUGACCCGGCCACCCGGCCAUGCUUGUCG